GUACUCACCCUGGCAGCACAUAUACUAAUAUAUGAACAAUACAGAGAAGAUUAGCAUAGCCUCAACUCAAGGAUGACACACACAUUCAUGAAGCAUCCCAGUUUUUU